GCUAGCAUUUAAGUACACUAAUCCCAUGAGGCCUGCGCGUCCCCGGCCCAAAGUUGACCGCUAACUGCCAGCUGACAGCGCCUUGCCACGGGGAGUUGUGAGUGGCAAUCCGGCCCGUCCCCGCCUCCGGUCUACCCACGGCUAAUAAUACGCCGUUAAAGCUAGCAGGGCAGGCUAACUCAAGCACCCACCUCGCUUGUCGAGGUCGUAACCGACCACUAAAAAGUAGUCGGCAAGCCUGGCCAUCUUUGGAGCUCACGGCGACAGGCCUUUCUCGCUAAAUCCUUUUCUCUUUUUGCCGUCAAUAGUCCAUUCACGUCCUACCGGCGACAGACACAUCACGGGCGACAGUAGCAUCCUUCCAGCUGCACCCCGCCGCCAUACUGUCAGUCUGCCUUGCCCUGACAGCGGAGAGCCACGAGUCUGCGCACUGAGGGGCUUCCAGGGAGGGGCUGCUCGACAGGAAUGUCCCAUUUAUCUGAGACUCAGGCCUGAGUGAGCGGAGGACACUCCAGCUCUUUGAUAAACACGGCUUCUGGCAACCAAAGCUAUGUUAACAGGAGAUAACAUGCAUCUCCAGCCAGUCUCCUGAUCCGUGCACAAAGCAACUCUCUGCAGGAUGCACCAGCCAUGUGACUUCCUGUAGACUAACCAACAGACAGGAAGUGGUCUGAAGGCCUCUUGCACAUCACUGCUCUUCAUGGGGUUAUUCCAGCAGUUGACUUCCCUUCAGCUCAGGUGAAGCAUAGCAGAUGACAGCGCUUCAUUAAGCAGGCAUUGGACUCAUUAGUUUUAUUCCCCAAAGUGAAUGCUUACAGAGUCACAGCAGUGUUAUAAUAUGAUACUGUCACUCCAAAUUCCUGCACGAGUGUAACUAAUGCAGGUGUAUGUACUAUAUUUUGUGCUGGAUGAUAAACCAUAUACAGAUACACAGACUUCCUUAUCUCAUGUAUCUCACUGCUGUAAUUGGAGCCCCUCUAUUUCCGCACACACAA